ACUCCUACGGGUGGCUGCAGUGGGGAAUAUUGCACAAUGGGCGCAAGCCUGAUGCAGCGACGCCGCGUGGGGGAUGACGGCCUUCGGGUUGUAAACUCCUUUCGCCAGGGACGAAGCGUUUUGUGACGGUACCUGGAGAAGAAGCACCGGCUAACUACGUGCCAGCAGCCGCGGUAAUACGUAGGGUGCAAGCGUUGUCCGGAAUUACUGGGCGUAAAGAGCUCGUAGGUGGUUUGUCACGUCGUCUGUGAAAUUCCACAGCUUAACUGUGGGCGUGCAGGCGAUACGGGCUGACUUGAGUACUGUAGGGGUAACUGGAAUUCCUGGUGUAGCGGUGAAAUGCGCAGAUAUCAGGAGGAACACCGAUGGCGAAGGCAGGUUACUGGGCAGUUACUGACGCUGAGGAGCGAAAGCAUGGGUAGCAAACAGGAUUAGAUACCCUGGUAGUCCAUGCCGUAAACGGUGGGCGCUAGGUGUAGGGGCCUUUUGGGGUUUCUGUGCCGUAGCUAACGCAUUAAGCGCCCCGCCUGGGGAGUACGGCCGCAAGGCUAAAACUCAAAGGAAUUGACGGGGGCCCGCACAAGCGGCGGAGCAUGUGGAUUAAUUCGAUGCAACGCGAAGAACCUUACCUGGGCUUGACAUACACCAGAUCGCUGCAGAGAUGUAGUUUCCCUUGUGGCUGGUGUACAGGUGGUGCAUGGAUGUCGUCAGCUCGUG
rnacentral:rRNA from 1 species